GACGGGGGAGGAGUGUUCGUAGAUGACUGGGCGUAAAGGGCACGUAGGCGGUGAAUCGGGUUGAAAGUGAAAGUCGCCAAAAAGUGGCGGAAUGCUCUCGAAACCAAUUCACUUGAGUGAGACAGAGGAGAGUGGAAUUUCGUGUGUAGGGGUGAAAUCCGUAGAUCUACGAAGGAACGCCAAAAGCGAAGGCAGCUCUCUGGGAUGGUACUGACGCUGAGACGCGAAAGCGUGGGGAGCGAACAGG
rnacentral:rRNA from 1 species